AGAGCUCUGGGGCUCUUCCUUCGGGGGGCCUGGUUUCCCAGUUGGUCUGUCGUUUCCAUAGAUACUGGGCAUACAGAAAGUCCACAGUCUGGCCCAAGAUGGAGUCCUGCUUUCAAGAUAGAGCCUGUUCUGUUUCCUCCUUCAGGGCAACUAAAGCGGGUGCACCACAGCUGCUGCGCUGUGACCAGAGCCCGCGCUCUGCACAGGCCGCUGCGACGAGCAGCCUGCGCAAGGCAGUGAAGAGGAGCACCCCCUCCCCCAGCAAAUGGAGAAGCCCCUGCACAGCAAAGACAGCACAACCAGAAAUAAAUAAAAUUUAAACAUUCUCCUUAAAGAAAGAUAUUAAAAUAAAGCCACGGAAAUGAUUUUAAAUCUCCUAUAAAACCAUUACUCUGACACAAAAGGUUAUUUUUAUUUUCCAAUCUAUUUUCCAGAUAGGUUUUACAUUAGCUCAUCCACGCAUUCCACAACGUUUAUAGCAUUCAAAGAAGCCUGCGAUACACACAUCGGUAGUUUUUAGUUUAUUAACCGUAGAUACGUCUUCAUGCUUAUCAUCCAGUUUUCCUCUUCGUAGGUAAUUGUCAUUAUUGCCUCCCCGCGGCGGGGUAAGAGUGAGAUGGAAGGUUUUGGGGGGAAACCAUGUGACCCCACGUGCUAGGGCCGACUGGAGGAUCCGCCCCGGAACUCUCGAGCCUCGGAACCCACAAGUGCGGGCGUGAGGCGCCGGAGGGCAGAGGAGUGGAACACGCUGUCCGCGGACGGACCCGGAAGCACAUGGCGGCGAGCCUCCAGGAGCGGGAGGCGGAACGCAGCCUCGUCUGGCUUCGCUGACGCUCAGAAGGGAACGUGAGGAGUCAGCCCGGCGUGGGCUUGGUGGUCAGCGAGCCGGGGGUCCUGAGAGCCUUGGCAAAGGUCUGACACUAGUCUCAGCUGUUCUGAACCUCAGUCUCAGUUCAGAUCAGUUCAGUUCAGUCGCUCAGUCGUGUCCGACUUUGCGACCCGUGAUGCCAUCAACCAUCUCCUCCUUUGUCGUCCCCUUCUCCUCCUGCCUUCAGUCUUUGCCAGCAUCAGGGUCUUUUCCAGUGAGUCAGCUCUUCACAUCAGGUGGCCAAAGUAUUGGAGUUUCAGCUUCAGCAUCAGUCCUUCCAGUGAACACUCAGGACUGAUCCCCUUUAGGAUGGACUGGUUGGAUCUCCUUGCAGUCUAAGGGACUUUCAAGAGUCUUCUUCAACACCACAGUUCAAAAGCAUCAAUUCUUUGGUGGUCAGCUUUCUUUAUAGUCCCAAUUCUCACAUCCAUACAUGACUACUGGAAAAACCAUAGCCUUGAUGAGACGGACCUUUGUUGGCAAAGUAACGUCUCUGCUUUUUAUAUGCUGUCUAGGUUAGUCAUAACUUUCCUUCCAAGGAGUAAGCGUCUUUUAAUUUCAUGGCUGUAAUCACCAUCUGCAGUGAUUUUGGAGCCCAAAAAAAUAAAGUCAGCCAGUGUUUCCACUAUUUCCCCAUCUAUUUGCCAUGAAGUGAUGGGACCGGAUG
rnacentral:lncRNA from 1 species